rnacentral:rRNA from 1 species
AGCGAACGCUGGCGGCAGGCCUAACACAUGCAAGUCGAACGAACUCUUCGGAGUUAGUGGCGGACGGGUGAGUAACACGUGGGAACGUGCCCUUUGGUACGGAAUAACUCAGGGAAACUUGAGCUAAUACCGUAUGUGCCCUUCGGGGGAAAGAUUUAUCGCCAUUGGAGCGGCCCGCGUCUGAUUAGCUAGUUGGUGAGGUAAAGGCUCACCAAGGCUACGAUCAGUAGCUGGUCUGAGAGGAUGAUCAGCCACAUUGGGACUGAGACACGGCCCAAACUCCUACGGGAGGCAGCAGUGGGGGAUCUUGCGCAAUGGGCGAAAGCCUGACGCAGCCAUGCCGCGUGAAUGAUGAAGGUCUUAGGAUUGUAAAAUUCUUUCACCGGGGACGAUAAUGACGGUACCCGGAGAAGAAGCCCCGGCUAACUUCGUGCCAGCAGCCGCAGUAAAAC